UACGGAGGGGGCAAGCGUUGUUCGGAAUUACUGGGCGUAAAGGGCGCGCAGGCGGCUGCUCAAGUCAGGCGUGAAAGGCCUGGGCUCAACCCGGGAAUUGCGCUUGAGACUGGGCUGGCUUGAGUGCGGGAGAGGAUGGUGGAAUUCCCAGUGUAGAGGUGAAAUUCGUAGAUAUUGGGGAAGAACACCAAUUGCGAAGGCAGCUCGCUGGGACGUUACUGACGCUGAGACGCGAAAGCGUGGGGAGCAACAGG
rnacentral:rRNA from 1 species